AGGGUUUGAUUAUGGCUCAGGACGAACGCUGGCGGCGUGCUUAACACAUGCAAGUCGAACGAGAAUCUGCUGAAGGAGGAUUCGUCCAACGGAAGUAGAGGAAAGUGGCGGACGGGUGAGUAACGCGUGAGGAACCUGCCUUGAAGAGGGGGACAACAGUUGGAAACGACUGCUAAUACCGCAUGAUGCAUAAGGGUCGCAUGAUUCUUAUGCCAAAGAUUUAUCGCUUCAAGAUGGCCUCGCGUCUGAUUAGCUGGUUGGCGGGGUAACGGCCCACCAAGGCGACGAUCAGUAGCCGGACUGAGAGGUUGAACGGCCACAUUGGGACUGAGAUACGGCCCAG
rnacentral:rRNA from 1 species